GGAAUAUUAGUAAUGGGCGAAAGCCUGAACUGGCAACGCCGCGUGUGCGAAGAAGGCCUUCGGGUUGUAAAGCACUUUUUGAGAGGAUGAGGAAGGACGGUACUCUCAGAAUAAGUCUCGGCUAACUACGUGCCAGCAGCCGCGGUAACACGUAGGAGGCGAACGUUAUCCGGAUUUACUGGGCGUAAAGCGCGUGUAGGUGGUUUGGUAAGUAGGGCGUGAAAGCUCCUGGCUCAACUGGGAGAGGCCGUUCUAAACUGCCGAACUAGAGGAUGGUAGAGGGAGGUGGAAUUCCGGGUGUAGCGGUGGAAUGCGCAGAUAUCCGGAGGAACACCAGUGGCGAAAGCGGCCUCCUGGACCAUUCCUGACACUCAGACGCGAAAGCUAGGGUAGCAAACGG
rnacentral:rRNA from 1 species